GUUACCCCAUCCCCUGAUGCCCCUCCCCUCCAGCGACCCUCAGUUUGCUUCCUAUGAUUAAGAGUCUCUUAUGGUUUGUCUCCCUCUUGGAUUUGAUCUUGUUUUAUUUUUUUUGCAAUGUUGAGAUUGAUCUGUGGGUUUUGUUGAAGAUCUGAUCCUUUUAUUCUCAAGUUCCCCAUCAGCCAGUGUUUCUAGCAUCUGUUAAUGAUCAUUAGGCAGAUUGAUUAUUUCAUUUAGAUUUUGUCAUUAUUUCUACAUUUGGUGGGCAUUUUCUCUAAAGAACUUGCUUCAUCGUUUAUAACCCAAGGUACAGUAGACACAAGAUACUUUUUUAAAAGGAUUUUAUUUAUUUACUUAUGAGAGACACACAGAGAGAGAGAGGCAGAGACACAGGCAGAGGGAGAAGCAGGCUCCAUGCAGGGAGCUCGACGUGGGACUCGAUCCCGGGUCUCCAGGAUCAGGCCUGGGGCUGAACCCCACCCAGGUUGCCCCACAGAAGAUACUUUUAAAAAAGCACUUAUCAAAACAAUGAUUCUGUUCUUUACUAUGCUCUAGAGGUGACUUGUGAGGUUUUUUUCUUAAAGAAAUUAAAUAUCAUUAUAAACUCAUGAAUUUUGCCAUAGACGAUGUGUAACAAUUCAUGAGUUGUUCCUUUGUGAUGCCCGUUACUGCUCAUCUGAGGCUGGUGGGAGUCUGUUUAAAUUAUAUCCCCUGCCCUCUGGACACAACCACCAUAGUUUUCCUUACUUUUGGUUAUGAUAAGGUGUUCUAGGUUUGUCUUACCCAUUUUCUGUCCCUGACCUAGACUCAGAUAUUUCUCCAAGGAGAUCUGCUUCCUUUUAGCAGGAAAAUGGUGUUCAGAGACCAUCAGCAGGCACACGAAACAGAUUAAAUCCAAGUCUUCCCUCUCGGACGGUGCGCACUCGAGAGUCCUUCGCCCUCGCGGGCCUCGCCUGAGCCUCAUUCCUCGUCCUCCUCACGCAGUUGAAGGAGACUUCCCACCACCUCUGCCCCUCGGUGGCCCAGGCUUCCGAAGGAGGAGUCCCAGGAACUCCAGGGCUCCAGGAAGGACUUUUUGAGAGGUGCCGAUGGUGCACGGGAUGGCGGACCUGCCCUGACUCUUGGCUCCCUUCCUCUCCCUCCCCGCUCCACCCUGGAAGUGCCGAGGAAGCGGGAGGACGGAUGGUGAAUCAGAGGAAAGAGUGCACACGCCAAGGAACACGGCCUACAGAAGCUGUGGGUGCAAGGAAGCCAGUUGCCACAGCUGGGGCGCAGCUGGGUGUCACGUCCUGGCCUCCCUCCUGUAUCCUGCAUCUAGAUGGAUCGCGGCUGCGCCGUCACAUCCCAGAGAGCAGAGAAGAGCAGUACCAGCCCUGUGCCCCCAGAGUCCUGAGCUGCCAUGGGAAGAGUGGGGCCCUUGAAGCCGAGAUGCCAGGUGGAGGAGACCAAGCCAUAGGAGGAGCACCUGACCCAUCUCACUGUCAGAGAGCCAAGUGCGGCCAGAAGACGCACUGCCCGCGGACUGCUCAGCUGAGCCCUAGCCAACCCACGAAACAGUGAAAUGCAAGGAAAGGGUUGCCUUAGAGCAUGAAAUUUUGCGGUGGUUUGUUAGGCAGUAACAGAUGAGGUUGUCGUGAGGAUCCCAGGAGGUGAUUUUCAAAGUGCCUAAUUGCACGUGGCUCCUGGGAAGCGUCUGGCUCUAUGUACGUACUUGUAGAAUGAAACAGAAGAAGGACCUGUAUAGGCUGACGGUGAUAGAAGUUGUCAGGGAUGAAACAUAGGAUUAACUCAGUUCUUUGCAUCCGGUAUUCAAAGAUAGGAUAAAAUAAAACCUCUGACAGCAUCCAUAUAUUCAUUUCCUAAAUAGGGUAGCUUUGGACACAGUAGGUGAAAAGUAUGUCUGAAAGGGAGGGUUUCUCAAAAGAAGCAGGGCUCUGAAGCUGAUCUCCUUGUAUUGUCUUUGUGUACCAAAUUCAGAGCCUCCAAGAAGGCACUAGAUGUAUGAGCUCCAUGACUCAUGAGUCCCUCAUUUCUGGGAAUACAGACAACUGACAGACUAUAUUUGUUUUCCUCUGUAGCACUAGAUUCAGAACUAGCAAAAAAAAUUUUUUUUUUUAUAUCUGUGAUGAAUUCUCAAUUAGCCAUAGGCUCCAGUGUCAGGAAAUGCAAGGGUAACAAAUCUACGCAUGAUUCAAAGACCUCAAUCAAGUCAGUAAUUUCAACCUCCAGAAGGGUCUCUUACCGUUCUUUUUAUUCCAAGCACAGUGUGCUCAAUAAAUAUCUGUUGAUUAUUUAAAAUCA